UUGCCUUGGGAGACUGCACUAAGCAUUUCUAGCUACAUUUUGUUGUGGAUUCAAGAGAUUGGAUGGCAAUGCUGCUAUGGUUACCAGGGUUUUUGUCUCAGAAAUGGAAUAGACGCAGCCAGGGUUGAUGGGGCACAAAAUGCCAAGGAGACAUCUAGAGAAGAAACUGGUUCUGCCCAUAUGGCAGAGACAGAUUGUUCAACCCACCAGUACGUCAAGUGUGCUCUAACUCUCUACAGGCCGGUGCAGCAGUGUGUGUUCUCUAUAAGUUGUAUCUCUUAAUUCCAACACUGAGAUUAAGCAGAAUGGACCUGCAAGAAAAUCAUAUUUUGCUCUUUUUUCUUAUCCUGGAUUUUGUUCACAUUGCAGUAAAAAAUGUUUUUUAAAUGCUA